GGUACACCAUGUAUAUAUUUCAUGGUGAGGUUUGGUUCUCCAUCUGAUUUGUAACGAUUCAACGGACCGUAUAUAAUUUUGCCCAGCUCAUGUUUAAGAAACGCCACUGAUCCCCGAUGUAAUUUAUCGAAAACUAUCGAUUCUCAUAUUUGAUACAGAGAGUGCGCGGAGAUUGUCGUUCAAUGUGGGAAUUUUUCAGUUUUCAGCUGAAAGAGGAUUAUUAUGAUUUUGACGACUGAUUGAAAACAGGUGGAGAGUGAGUGUGAUAUUUUUUGGUGGCUUUUCGUAUGGUUGAGUACCUUAAUAUUAGAUAUUGAAUAUUACCUAAUUAUUUCUUUGAAUAACAGUAAUUCUAUCUAACGAUUUGAUAUCUGAUAGUUUAAUUUGAUAUUCCAUUGUCUCUUUUCUUUUUUUCUCUUAACACACAGUAGUGUGUAAGGAUUUUUUUUUUCCUUCUUUCUUUUGAGAGCCGCCAGGAAGUACAUAUUCCCUUUCUUGCUGUAAUUAACUAUAAAUUUCAUUCAAAUUAAAUAAAUUUCCUUCUUAUAAUAACUCUCGGAUCAUAUGUACCUUUUUUUUUAUUCUUUGUAUUUCAUUGUUUCUUAUAACAUAAGUUUUUUUCACUUUCCGGAAAGUAUUCAAUAAGUAACUCAUUUUUAUAUAAUAGUUUAUAAUUUCUGUCAAUUCCAAAUUUUAUACAAUACUUUUGAUACUAUUUUUCCAAAUUCAACCAGAACAUUUUUAUCUUCGAUAAUUGUACAAAUCUAAUUUCCUGAAUUUUUCUCUCCACGCAUGCUCAAGCAUCCAUUUUGAUACGAAGAAGAUUCCACAAUUCCUGUACAAGUUCCUAACCAGGCUGCACUGAAUCUUCAUCCUGAUCAAGGUUACACAGAAACCUUCAUCUAAUAUUUGGACGAAAUACUCCAAGUGCCGUUGAGUUUCACUUCAGGCGAGCAUCCACCAAAUUGGAACCCGAGAUUUGAAUUUAUUUUCACCACUUCGAUCCAAGAGCAAUAUUCUGAUAUCAAGCAAUUAUUAAAAUUGAGAAACAAGAUCUACCAAGUGAGAUAUCAAAAUUCAUCUUUCGAUAACCUACUUAUUCCAAAUUCUGUCUGGAGACCUAAUAUUCGAAUUGUAAGAUCAGUGAAAUUUUCAUCAUUUGUAAAUGUUCUGAGUAUAUUUUUUUUCUCAGCCUUCAGCAAUAUUUUUUUUUGUAAAUUCUGAAUUAAUUUUCUUCUCAGCUUUCAGCAAUAUUUUUUUGGAAAUUCUGAAUUUUUUUUUUCUCAGCCUUCAGCAAAAAUUUUUUUAAAUAGUUUUAAUAUAUUUGUAAAAUUUGAUUCGUUUUAUUUCUUACCACUAAGCAAGAUCUCUCUUAUCUAUCUCCCGUUUCUCUUACUUAAUUUCAUUUUUUUUAUCAUCUCUAUUAAUAUUUUUUUUGAGAAAUUUCAUUUUUAUGAAAUUUGGUUUACUUUAGUAAGCCUGGCGCCCAACAAUUAAUUAGUCAAGUUAACAAGUCCAUUUGGUGCCCACACCCUCACCGUAUCAACUGAGCAGCCGACAGGCAUACGUGUGAUUUAACUUUACACAAUUGGCGCCCAUCGCGUGGCCCUCAAGGGGUGCGUUGGCUUGACAUAAUUUUUUUUUUUUCUAAAUCUUGCUGAGUGGAAAUUUUCUGUUAUACAUUUGAUCCGACAGAAUUUGGUACAUUGUUAUUCAGUACUAAUAUUUUUUCGUAUUGACAUUUCUAUACCAUAUUGAACGGCCAUCUUUCUCUUUAAAUUCACUUUUCUUAUUUUAUAUUUUCGUUUUUUUACACUAAUUUCGUAACUGAUUUCUAUAAUUUGAUGAAGUAUGAAUCCCAAUCAUUUGAAGGCCUAUGAAUUGGUCUAUGAAAUUAAAAUUCGCGGCGUUGAACCAACUGCCGAUGUUGAAAGUAAGAGGAGAGUUUUUGGAGGGUUUCGGUGUUAUAUUAAUGAAAAUCAUAAAACCUGGGAUUCUUCUAUAUUUAAAGUGGCUCAGGCCAUCAGGUUGGCAAAACAUGAUGUCACAGGUUAUUCUCCGGCUUUCCUUAAUUUCGCUAGAAAUAUUCCCGUUAUCGGAGAUUUCUAUGGAAAAAUUUCUGAUAAUCAAAACAAUACAAUCUCUAUAUCUGAGAAGUUUCAACGCAUUGAUGAUGUGCAGAAACUACCCGAAUUAUUUGUAGAUAUUCGCAAGAAAUUACAUCAGGUCUAUCUUAGAAAUGCUCAUCAAUACAAUUUAAGAAAGCGAAAAGUAAGAUUUUAUGUCGGCGAUAAAGUCUGGAAAAGAAAUGUAACUUUGUCUUCAGCGGCUAACAAUUAUUCUGCGAAAUUAGCUCCUAAAUAUUUGCCUUGCAUUAUUACUAGGGUUGUUUCAGAUUUGGUAUACGAGCUUAAGGACGUGGAUGGUAACGAUUUGGGUCGUUGGCACAUUAAAGAUCUCAAAUCAUCUUAUGAUGAUGAUUUGGAUUCGGCUGAGGAGUAUCUUAGCGCAGAUUCGGAUGACUCAUAAAUAUUUUCUCUAUUUUUUUCUCUAUUGCAAGUAUUAUGCGUGUAAACAUAAUGAAUUACUGUUGGAUGGUGCAAUGUUAUGAAAGAAUCUAUCUUUGGUAGCUCCUUUAUGGAAAAUUUGUGCUUUCAUGAUAUGAACUAUUCAGCAGGGAUGUGUUGUGUUGAUUCUGAAUUACUUCGGUAUUUAUGAUAUUUGGGAAUCAAUGCAUUUUUCAUAUCAUUUUGAUUUAUGUUACAUGCCUUAUUUAUCUUACCUAUCUGUAUCUCUCAAAGUUUUCCUUGCAUCGUAUCUUUUCAUGUACUAUGAAUAUUGAGUCUGAUUUCAAUUUGUUGCUUCCUAAGUCAAUUCCUUUGCUAUAUAGCGAAUGAAAAAAAAAAUAAAAAAAAAAAUUUUAAACUUCUAAAGUUUACAAAUUUUUUUUUCGCCCAGUUGGGGUGGUGUGUAACGAUUCAACGGACCGUAUAUAAUUUUGCCCAGCUCAUGUUUAAGAAACGCCACUGAUCCCCGAUGUAAUUUAUCGAACACUAUCGAUUCUCAUAUUUGAUACAGAGAGUGCGCGGAGAUUGUCGUUCAAUGUGGGAAUUUUUCAGUUUUCAGCUGAAAGAGGAUUAUUAUGAUUUUGACGACUGAUUGAAAGCAGGUGGAGAGUGAGUGUGAUAUUUUUUGGUGGCUUUUCGUAUGGUUGAGUACCUUAAUAUUAGAUAUUGAAUAUUACCUAAUUAUUUCUUUGAAUAAUAGUAAUUCUAUCUAACGAUUUGAUAUUUGAUAGUUUAAUUUGAUAUUCCAUUGUCUCUUUUCUUUUUUUCUCUUAACACACAGUAGUGUGUAAGGAUUUUUUUUUUCCUUCUUUCUUUUGAGAGCCGCCAGGAAGUACAUAUUCCCUUUCUUACUGUAAUUAACUAUAAAUUUCAUUCAAAUUAAAUAAAUUUCCUUCUUAUAAUAACUCUCGGAUCAUAUGUACCUUUUUUUUUAUUCUUUGUAUUUCAUUGUUUCUUAUAACAUAAGUUUUUUUCACUUUCCGGAAAGUAUUCAAUAAGUAACUCAUUUUUUUAUCCUCCUCAGACCCCAGGUAUCAUAUAUGAUACCCCAGGUUUAUAUUUUAUUCUCGGCCUCCAGCUCCAUUUAGCCGCACGUACUCGAUGGUAUCAUAUAUGAUACACUGCUAAAUACGCGCCUAAUUUUUUGAUGCGAUGUUGGUUGCAUACGGCGGCAAGAAAAGUCAGUCGAUUGUUUAUGUUUACAAGUGCACGUGCUACGAUCAUGCCUCUACCACGAAAUAAAAGUAAGUAAUUGUUUUUGUGGUGUUUUUUUGAUUUAUAUUUGUUGAACAAGUACUACAGAACAUAUGGAAUAUAAUAGGUUCUGUUUUAAAUAUUACAAAUAUUUCGCAAUGGGUAAUUCCGUUAACGUAUCAUAGGUGAUACCUUGGGUCUUACUGACUACAAAUUUAAUUUCAAUGGCCUUUGACCGCGUUGGAGCUUGAAGAGAUAGCUCUCAACUUGGACUUCGAUCAGUCGGACCUCGAUGAUCUCUCUUCGGACGAUGAUGAGGAUGAGGUUGAUCUAGGUUUGGAAAAUGUGGUUACCGAUCCUGAUGAUAUGGAGAUCGCAGACAACAUGAGUGAUGAAGAAGAGACACCGCCUCUGAAACAAAGGAAGAUACAACCUGUUCCGGAUAGAAGAGUCAGGACCGUUGGUAACAUCCACCUACCAGUAUUUACGAAGCAAGAACAAAAAACAAGAUCAAAAUGUAGAUUUCCUAAAUGUGGCAAAUUAACGUUUGCCAAAUGUAACUCCUGCAAUAUUUAUCUGUGUUGUACCGUUGAUAGAAAUUGUUUCUCGCUUUUUCACCAGUAAAUUUUUUUUAUAGA